rnacentral:rRNA from 1 species
CGAUGAACCACUUCGGUGGGGAUUAGUGGCGAACGGGUGAGUAACACGUGGGCAAUCUGCCCUUCACUCUGGGACAAGCCCUGGAAACGGGGUCUAAUACCGGAUACCACUCUCACAGGCAUCUGUGGGGGUUGAAAGCUCCGGCGGUGAAGGAUGAGCCCGCGGCCUAUCAGCUUGUUGGUGAGGUAACGGCUCACCAAGGCGACGACGGGUAGCCGGCCUGAGAGGGCGACCGGCCACACUGGGACUGAGACACGGCCCAGACUCCUACGGGAGGCAGCAGUGGGGAAUAUUGCACAAUGGGCGAAAGCCUGAUGCAGCGACGCCGCGUGAGGGAUGACGGCCUUCGGGUUGUAAACCUCUUUCAGCAGGGAAGAAGCGAAAGUGACGGUACCUGCAGAAGAAGCGCCGGCUAACUACGUGCCAGCAGCCGCGGUAAUACGUAGGGCGCAAGCGUUGUCCGGAAUUAUUGGGCGUAAAGAGCUCGUAGGCGGCUUGUCACGUCGGGUGUGAAAGCCCGGGGCUUAACCCCGGGUCUGCAUUCGAUACGGGCUAGCUAGAGUGUGGUAGGGGAGAUCGGAAUUCCUGGUGUAGCGGUGAAAUGCGCAGAUAUCAGGAGGAACACCGGUGGCGAAGGCGGAUCUCUGGGCCAUUACUGACGCUGAGGAGCGAAAGCGUGGGGAGCGAACAGGAUUAGAUACCCUGGUAGUCCACGCCGUAAACGGUGGGAACUAGGUGUUGGCGACAUUCCACGUCGUCGGUGCCGCAGCUAACGCAUUAAGUUCCCCGCCUGGGGAGUAC